GCUCCAAAGCCAGCGCUCAUUUCCAUCCUUUCCCCCUAAGUCAAGGAUUCCCCACAUCCCGAAACCACCCAGCCCCAGGUGCUGCCAGGCUGAGGUUGAGGCUUUAGAAAGAGCAACCUUAGGGAGGAGAGUUUGGAGAGGGCCGCUGCUGGGGUGAGGGGAGGAGCGCCUGCAGGUCAGGUGAGGAACCCGGAGCUAAGGGGUGUGGCCCGCUGCGCAAUGACCCGGGCGUCUGAUUCCAAGGCCGAGAAGUUCAAGAAAGAAAUCUACUAGGCAGCUCUGAUGAUUUCACCACUCGGUGGUAUGGGCUACACCAGCUGGGUGGAAGUGGGGGUGGGGGCGCUCUCCGGGCCCGGUGUACCCCUAGGCUCAUCUGAGUGGGCCUUGAGGCUUCUUCCUACCCACCCACCGCCAUCCUCCGUCCAGUUCCAUAAUGACAGCGAGGAGGCAGAAACCCUAAAUCCUGAAACAUUUUGAGUGGAACCCAGCACGCAGGAACCUGCGAGAUUUUUCCGUUUCGUCGAGGUCCGCAUCGAUUGUAUUGACCUCCCCGUGGGCCAGCUUGUCUCCUUCAUCGAUCAACCGAACGAAGUCUAGGACAGAACUGUAGACCAAAGGAAAUCGCAGGCGUCUUUGCAAAGCUGGUGGGAAGUAACCCAGCGGCUGCUGGAAAACGAAUGGGUGACCUAAGCCGGUUCCACCCCCUCUCAGGGCGUCGGCAAAAGGAGCUUCUCACCCCACUGCCUCUUAUUCGAUCACUAAUUCAUUUUUUAGUUUGGUUCUGUUUUGGGAGAAGUCUGUACAGAAGCAUAAAACCCUGGCGGCGGGGGAGGGGUUAUGGAAAACUCUUUACUGUCAAUUUUUAACAAUGUGAAGGCGCAAGACUCCCUAGUUGUCUAUCCCAAAGUUUUCUGUUUGUGCAGAGCGGCAGUACUACCCACUUGUAGGCAAGGUGUGCGCUCUGAGUGCAAGAAACGAACCGGAGAGUUUAGAAGUUAGGGCCUUCGAGCUGGGAGCUGGGGUGAGCAGAUCCGGCAAAGUCUUUUGCGGGACAGCGGCUGGGUGUUAAGCUCCGGCUCCCGCGCACGCCUGGCGCCCCCGGUGACCUCCGCCAACCAGGUCAGUAACGCUGUCUGGGUUUCCAAGGCUCCCAGGAGCAAAAAAUCACCCAGCCCUACCUCUCCACAGCGCGUGGAAGAGCUAAGGCUGAUUGAGUUUGGCCUUUCUGUCCAGAGAUCUUGAAAUUAAGCCCUCUCCUGUCCC
rnacentral:lncRNA from 1 species